rnacentral:rRNA from 1 species
UGGCGGCGUGCCUAACACAUGUAAGUCGCACGGGACUGGAGGGCAACUUCCAGUUCAGUGGCAGACGGGUGCGUAACACGUGAGGAACUUGUCCAACGGCGGGGGAUAGCCGGCCCAACGGCCGGGUAAUACCGCAUACGAUCAUUUGGGGGCAUCCCUGAAUGAAGAAAGCAGCCGCAAGGUUGCGCCGAUGGAGAGUCUCGCGGCCUAUCAGCUAGUUGGCGGGGUAACGGCCCACCAAGGCGACGACGGGUAGCUGGUCUGAGAGGACGACCAGCCUCACUGGAACUGAGACACGGUCCAGACACCUACGGGUGGCAGCAGUCGAGAAUUUUUCUCAAUGGGCGAAAGCCUGAAGGAGCGACGCCGCGUGGGGGAUGAAUGGCUUCGGCCCGUAAACCCCUGUCAUUUGUGACCAAACCUUCCGAUCUAAUAAGUCGGAAGCUGAUGGUAGCAGAAGAGGAAGGGACGGCUAACUCUGUGCCAGCAGCCGCGGUAAUACAGAGGUCCCAAGCGUUGUUCGGAUUCACUGGGCGUAAAGGGUGCGUAGGUGGUCGGAUAAGUUUGAUGUGAAAUCUCCGGACUUAACCCGGAAACUGCAUUGAAUACUAUCUGGCUGGAGGGUUGGAGGGGGGACUGGAAUUCUCGGUGUAGCAGUGAAAUGCGUAGAUAUCGAGAGGAACACCAGUGGCGAAGGCGAGUCCCUGGACAACUCCUGACA